GAAGGUGUGCUGUGAGGCAUGCUGGAGGUAUCAGAAGUGCGAAUGCUGACAUAAGUAACGAUAAAGCGGGUGAAAAGCCCGCUCGCCGGAAGACCAAGGGUUCCUGUUCAACGUUAAUCGGAGCAGGGUGAGUCGACCCCUAAGGCGAGGCCGAAAGGCGUAGUCGAUGGGAAACAGGUUAAUAUUCCUGUACUCGGUGUUACUGCGAAGGGGGGACGGAGAAGGCUAUAUCAGCCGGGCGACGGUUGUCCCGGUUUAAGCGUGUAGGUGGAGAGUCCAGGUAAAUCCGGUCUCUUGUUAACACUGAGGCGUGACGACGAGGCACUACGGUGCUGAAGUGAUAAAUGCCCAGCUUCCAGGAAAAGCCUCUAAGCAUCAGGUAACACAGAAUCGUACCCCAAACCGACACAGGUGGUCAGGUAGAGAAUACCAAGGCGCUUGAGAGAACUCGGGUGAAGGAACUAGGCAAAAUGGUGCCGUAACUUCGGGAGAAGGCACGCUGGCGCGUAGGUGGAGGGACCUGCUCCCCGAGCCGAAGCCAGUCGAAGAUACCAGCUGGCUGCAACUGUUUAUUAAAAACACAGCACUGUGCAAACACGAAAGUGGACGUAUACGGUGUGACGCCUGCCCGGUGCCGGAAGGUUAAUUGAUGGGGUUAUCCGCAAGGAGAAGCUCUUGAUCGAAGCCCCGGUAAACGGCGGCCGUAACUAUAACGGUCCUAAGGUAGCGAAAUUCCUUGUCGGGUAAGUUCCGACCUGCACGAAUGGCGUAAUGAUGGCCAGGCUGUCUCCACCCGAGACUCAGUGAAAUUGAACUCGCUGUGAAGAUGCAGUGUACCCGCGGCAAGACGGAAAGACCCCGUGAACCUUUACUACAGCUUGACACUGAACAUUGAGCCUUGAUGUGUAGGAUAGGUGGGAGGCUUUGAAGCGCGGACGCCAGUCUGCGUGGAGCCAACCUUGAAAUACCACCCUUUAAUGUUUGAUGUUCUAACGUAGGCCCGUGAUCCGGGCUGCGGACAGUGUCUGGUGGGUAGUUUGACUGGGGCGGUCUCCUCCUAAAGAGUAACGGAGGAGCACGAAGGUCAGCUAAUCACGGUCGGACAUCGUGAGGUUAGUGCAAUGGCAUAAGCUGGCUUGACUGCGAGAGUGACGGCUCGAGCAGGUGCGAAAGCAGGUCAUAGUGAUCCGGUGGUUCUGAAUGGAAGGGCCAUCGCUCAACGGAUAAAAGGUACUCCGGGGAUAACAGGCUGAUACCGCCCAAGAGUUCAUAUCGACGGCGGUGUUUGGCACCUCGAUGUCGGCUCAUCACAUCCUGGGGCUGAAGUAGGUCCCAAGGGUACGGCUGUUCGCCGUUUAAAGUGGUACGCGAGCUGGGUUUAGAACGUCGUGAGACAGUUCGGUCCCUAUCUGCCGUGGGCGCUGGAGAAUUGAGGGGGGUUGCUCCUAGUACGAGAGGACCGGAGUGAACGCACCACUGGUGUUCGGGUUGUCAUGCCAAUGGCAUUGCCCGGUAGCUAAGUGCGGAAAAGAUAAGUGCUGAAAGCAUCUAAGCACGAAACUUGCCCCGAGAUGAGUUCUCCCUGACUCCUUGAGAGUCCUGAAGGGACGUUGAAGACGACGACGUUGAUAGGCCGGGUGUGUAAGCGCAGCGAUGCGUUGAGCUAACCGGUACUAAUGACCCGUGAGGCUUAACCUU
rnacentral:rRNA from 1 species